UCCCAAGGGUUGGGCUGUUCGCCCAUUAAAGCGGUACGCGAGCUGGGUUCAGAACGUCGUGAGACAGUUCGGUCCCUAUCCGUCGUGGGCGCAGGAAAUUUGAGAGGAGCUGUCCUUAGUACGAGAGGACCGGGAUGGACGCACCGCUGGUGUACCAGUUGUCUUGCCAAAGGCAUCGCUGGGUAGCUAYGUGCGGAAGGGAUAAGUGCUGAAAGCAUCUAAGCAUGAAGCCCCCCUCGAGAUGAGAUUUCCCAUCACUUUAUGUGAGUAAGAUCCCUGAAAGAUGAUCAGGUAGAUAGGUCUGAGGUGGAAGCGUGGCGACACGUGCAGCUGACAGAUACUAAUCGAUCGAGGACUUAACCACAA
rnacentral:rRNA from 1 species